AGCAGCCGCAUUGUUGGUGCUCUGGGGACGCUCACUGAUAGCGGCACUUGCAACCUCAAUUUGGACCCAAGUUUUAGUAGUUCUCAAAAUUUAAUUUGAAGAUAAAGUUUUUGAAUGCAGCAGCAGUCGAGCGGUAGUCUACGGGCACCAUGAAUAUUAUACGUCGCAGUGUUUGGAGCAAUGGUUUUGUGUGUGUAUACAAUUUCCCGACGGAGUCUUGGCUUGACUUUUGUCGUGAAACGUCGAAAAUACAUACAUCCUGUGGAGCCGAGGCAAAUUCGUUUCGAAUUACAAUAAUUAUUAUUAUGAUGUUCCAUAUUUUGAGAAAGAAGAAUUCGAUUAUGUGCUCAAGUGCGUAGCUUGUUCAUGUUGUCAAUACAUCAAUUAAGUCAGAAGAAUAUCCAACCAGCUGUUAACUGGCACGAUCAGAAGGCAGACCCUUUCAACUUUCAUGGAUCCUGGAAAGGAGGGAGGAGCAGCUAUGGCAUUGUGCCGCCUGCAACGACGCCUAUUCUCAAACCAAGUAGUAAGUAAGUAAUAAAUUCGUUCUGAAUUCGCCUUCUUUGGCCUCUAGCAGCGAUGACGUGUAGUGGAGGUCCGCCGUGGAUUCAGUGUGAGGGAGAAAAUAUGUACGUGAUCUGACCGCGGAAUCGUCAUGAGCUCAACGACACGUUCACCUGCCUGCCUCUGUUGGUGAGAAAUCGCAGGAGAAGAUGAGGCUGAGAAAGGAAUUAUGGCCGGAUUGACCACAUACUUGGAUCAAAGUGGCGGCAGUCAGCUCAGACUCAGACCAUAUUUGCUGGGAACAAGGCCUAUAAGCCGACGGUGUCAACAAGACGUACUUCAAGCCCGAGUCCAACACCAGAGCCAGUGUAGAAGCAAUGAGUCAGUGAGAACUGAGCGCAGGAAAGGAAUGGAUGACAGUCUGUAUCGUUGCGGUUGAAGGUGAAGGACUGCCAGCUGCAUACCUCUCUGAACUUCUUCACCAUGAACGUCGGAUCGGCGAUUUCAUCAUCUGUCAGCCUCGAGGGUUUGCCUGGGAGGAGCAGUACAUCAUGACAUCACAAUGCGGUCAACUGGAACAUUCUUUGCUUCGAUUCCAAUAAUGACUCAGGCUUCUAAAACCGGCACAGCAUUUGCACCCAACACAAUGUCAAGUGUCAAGCUGCGAGUGAGAAAGUCAGACUUGAAAUUAUAUGACUUUCGGUUCAUAUUUCAGUUAUCAUACAUGUUGAUAAGGAAUGCUCACAAAAUAUGCAGUCUUACAUUUCAGAUCACAAUGUAUGGGUCCUGACAUUGACAGGUCCUGUAUUUUUUGGUCUUCUAAACAAAAGUUUUGGAUUAACAAAACUAUGAACUAAAAGCUUAAAAUCAAAUGCCCAUUUUGAAAGCUUCAUGUUUUAGAAUGCAUUGUGUUUAGAAUGAAGUCUUUACAGCACACUAAAACCACUAUGCUAGCACCUGUAGUUAAUUUCCAACUUUUUUUCAGUCUGGCUUCAUACCAAUUUGGAGAGGAAGUUUUUUUGUAAGUGUCUACAUCAUUAUGAUUAUAAUACUGACUCAGAAAUCAGGCAUUUCCAUGAGUUUCACUCAAAAGUAAUGUGCUGCCUGACAAAAUGAUGUCAAGAAAUUGCAGAUACAUUUUAAAGAACAUGAUUGGAAGUGAAUGUUCAUUGUGAAGAGUGGAGAGUUGAUUUAAAGGAAAUAAAGAGAUGUGUCCUGAGGCGGAGGAAUCAAAAGCUCUUGUCAAUUGUGAGGAAAGUAAAGCCCAUUUCCACCUUCA